rnacentral:rRNA from 1 species
AGACAGCACCCGCGGAGCUCGCUCCCGGGGCUACCCUACUCCGGUAGGGUUUAGAGUCGUCGGGCCUCUCGCAGAAGCUCGGUCCUGAACUCCACCCUUGAAUAAACUACCUUUGUUGCUUUGGCGGGCCGCCUCGUGCCAGCGGCUUCGGCUGUUGAGUGCCCGCCAGAGGACCACAACUCUUGUUUUUAGUGAUGUCUGAGUACUAUAUAAUAGUUAAAACUUUCAACAACGGAUCUCUUGGUUCUGGCAUCGAUGAAGAACGCAGCGAAAUGCGAUAAGUAAUGUGAAUUGCAGAAUUCAGUGAAUCAUCGAAUCUUUGAACGCACAUUGCGCCCUCUGGUAUUCCGGGGGGCAUGCCUGUUCGAGCGUCAUUAUAACCACUCAAGCUCUCGCUUGGUAUUGGGGUUCGCGGUUUCGCGGCUCCUAAAAUCAGUGGCGGUGCCUAUCGGCUCUACGCGUAGUAAUACUCCUCGCGAUUGAGUCCGGUAGGUCUACUUGCCAGCAACCCCUAAUUUUUUUAAGGUUGACCUCGGAUCAGGUAGGGAUACCCGCUGAACUUAAGCAUAUCAAUAAGCGGAGGAAAAGAAACCAACAGGGAUUACCUCAGUAACGGCGAGUGAAGCGGUAACAGCUCAAAUUUGAAAGCUGGCUCUUUUAGGGUCCGCGUUGUAAUUUGUAGAAGAUGCUUCGGGUGUGGCCCCGGUCU